CUCUCCCUCCUGCGUCCUGCUGCCUCUCCGUGCGGCGGCUCUCGGUCUCGGCGACUCGGCCUCUCAGAUCCCUCUCCCUCCGGCGUCCUGCUCCCUCCUCUCGGCGCGGCGCUCCCUGCUCCUCCUCCCGGUGCUCCCUGCUCGGCUGCUCCCUCCUCUAGAUGCUCCCUGGCUCCCUGCUCGGUGCUCCCUCCUCCCGACGCUCCUUUCGGCGUCCUGCAACAGCGACGACGCAGGGCGUGUGGGGCAGCAGCAGGAGCAUGCAUUGAUGACGGCGCAUCCGAGUGUCCAGAUGCCUGUGUC
rnacentral:misc_RNA from 1 species